rnacentral:lncRNA from 1 species
CCAUCACCCUUGGUGCAACUCUGCGUGGGACUCCCAGUACCACACACCUGGGCAACGUCAGCAGCAAGAGGCAUGGGAAGACGGUUUUACAAGGUGGCUGUGUGAGCAAUAGCUGCCUUUUGCCUCAAGAUGCUAUUUAGAGGCCAUAAUAACAAGCAAAAUUUCCUGAGAUUUGAGCACGUUGUGUUUGGUGAGGAUUCUCAAGGAAGGAAAUACUUGGAAUGUUGUUUGUGUAAAAAUGACAUCGUUGGAGUCUUCUGUGUGGUAGACAAGCUGGCAAAAAAUCAAAUCAUGGGCUGCGUCCUUCCGCCCCUGCCUGUGUUCCAGAAAGAGCCAGCACCUGUGUUCCCUGAGCAGACCAAGAACAUUAUUUAAUGGACUUGCCAAUUAGCAUUGGUUUCUCCCUGGUUGCUGUAUGAAUGCAGAGUGAGAAAGAGGCCUAUCUCUGGAGAUCUUCCCCGAUGAUGAGACAUAAACUGAUGUUGUAGGUUGUCGAUGGAUUUCGGCUGUUGCGGCUGAUUGCACAAUCUAGCAAAAAAUCCAUUGGUCCAUAACUGAAAAAGUUUAUUCAGAGCAAUGUUGGAGGUGCAUACAGAAGCUGGGCAGACCUUCCCACCAGUCACUAAGGGAACAGGUCACACUCAUCCCAUUCUCAGGGCUGUUAGAGCUGCUUCAUGAAGCCCAGAGGAUGUAUCACAAGGCUGGAAAAGGGGAUCAGUCCUGCUUACACCCAGCAUGUGAAGAAAGCCACCUGAACCCCCCAGUUACAGCAUCCAUCCUUCCUGGUGUGCUGUGAAGUCUUAAUUUUUCUGGGCCUACAGCUGUCUCCCCGAAAUUAAUCACAGCUGGUUUCUCAGUCCAAACAAACUCUCAUGGAAACUUGAUUCUCUCUCCUGUGAAUGCAUGCAAGAAAGAAGGUGCUAUUUUUUUUUUUUUUUUUUUUUGCACAGUGAUCUUUCAGAUUAGAACUAGAUGAUAUAAGUGCAAGACACAUCAUUAACUAGAGGAAUCUGCUAAUACAUAUUAUCAUUAAAUGGGCAGAAGACUAUUUCUUGAAUUGCAGUCACAAAACUAUGUGCAGUGUUUGCUAACUGCUGUUUGCUUCCAAAUACUGCAUGUUUCUUGCUCAUUAAUUACUGCUACAGUUUGCAGGAAUUAUUCCAUAAUUAAUUGGCCUUUAAAGCACUGUGCUGUAUCUUUCUCACAUCUGGGAAGUCCUACUCAAGAUCGUAUUUUUCCUGCAAGUUUUUCGUAGAAGC